GACAGAGGAGCCAAGCGUUGUCCGGAUUGACUGGGCGUAAAGCGCACGCAGGCGGCUCAGCGCGUGGGGUGUGAAAGGUGGCGGCUCAACUGCCACACGCCAUCCCAUACGGCUGGGCUCGAGCCAUGCAGAGGUCCACGGAAUUGCCGGUGUAGUGGUGAAAUGCGUAGAUAUUGGGAAGAACACCGGUGGCGAAGGCGGCAACCUGGUCCUUUACUGACGCUGAGGCGCGAAAGCGUGGGGAGCAAACAGG
rnacentral:rRNA from 1 species